UGGGGAAUUUUGGACAAUGGGCGCAAGCCUGAUCCAGCCAUGCCGCGUGAGUGAAGAAGGCCUUCGGGUUGUAAAGCUCUUUCAGUUGGGAAGAAACGAUUGCAACUAAUAAUUGUAAUUAAUGACGGUACCGACAGAAGAAGCACCGGCUAACUACGUGCCAGCAGCCGCGGUAAUACGUAGGGUGCGAGCGUUAAUCGGAAUUACUGGGCGUAAAGGGUGCGCAGGCGGUUUUGUAAGUCAGAUGUGAAAUCCCCGGGCUUAACCUGGGAAUGGCGUUUGAAACUGCAAGGCUAGAGUGUAGCAGAGGGGAUGGAAUUCCGCGUGUAGCAGUGAAAUGCGUAGAUAUGCGGAGGAACACCGAUGGCGAAGGCAGCUCCCUGGCUAACGACUGACGCUCAU
rnacentral:rRNA from 1 species